rnacentral:rRNA from 1 species
GAUGAACGCUGGCGGCGUGCCUAAUACAUGCAAGUCGAGCGAACAGAUAAGGAGCUUGCUCCUUUGACGUUAGCGGCGGACGGGUGAGUAACACGUGGGUAACCUACCUAUAAGACUGGGAUAACUUCGGGAAACCGGAGCUAAUACCGGAUAACAUUUGGAACCGCAUGGUUCUAAAGUGAAAGAUGGUUUUGCUAUCACUUAUAGAUGGACCAGCGCCGUAUUAGAUAGUUGGUAAGGUAACGGCUUACCAAGGCGACGAUACGUAGCCGACCUGAGAGGGUGAUCGGCCACACUGGAACUGAGACACGGUCCAGACUCCUACGGGAGGCAGCAGUAGGGAAUCUUCCGCAAUGGGCGAAAGCCUGACGGAGCAACGCCGCGUGAGUGAUGAAGGGUUUCGGCUCGUAAAACUCUGUUAUUAGGGAAGAACAAAUGUGUAAGUAACUGUGCACGUCUUGACGGUACCUAAUCAGAAAGCCACGGCUAACUACGUGCCAGCCGCCGCCGUAAGAC